AUUGAACGCUGGCGGCAUGCCUUACACAUGCAAGUCGAACGGCAGCACGGGGGCAACCCUGGUGGCGAGUGGCGAACGGGUGAGUAACAUAUCGGAACGUGCCCUGGAGUGGGGGAUAACUAGUCGAAAGAUUAGCUAAUACCGCAUACGAUCUACGGAUGAAAGUGGGGGACCGCAAGGCCUCACGCUCGUGGAGCGGCCGAUAUCUGAUUAGCUAGUUGGUGGGGUAAAGGCCUACCAAGGCAUCGAUCAGUAGCUGGUCUGAGAGGACGACCAGCCACACUGGGACUGAGACACGGCCCAGACUCCUACGGGAGGCAGCAGUGGGGAAUUUUGGACAAUGGGGGCAACCCUGAUCCAGCAAUGCCGCGUGAGUGAAGAAGGCCUUCGGGUUGUAAAGCUCUUUUGUCAGGGAAGAAACGGUGCGGGCCAAAUACCCUGCGCUAAUGACGGUACCUGAAGAAUAAGCACCGGCUAACUACGU
rnacentral:rRNA from 1 species